rnacentral:rRNA from 1 species
CCUACGGGUGGCUGCAGUGAGGAAUAUUGGUCAAUGGGAGAGAUCCUGAACCAGCCAAGCCGCGUGAGGGAAGACGGCCCUAUGGGUUGUAAACUUCUUUUGUCGGAGAACAAAAACCGGGACGUGUUCCGUACUGCGUGUAUCCGAAGAAAAAGCACCGGCUAACUCCGUGCCAGCAGCCGCGGUAAUACGGAGGAUUCGGGCGUUAUCCGGAUUUAUUGGGUUUAAAGGGGGCGUAGGCGGUCCGUUAAGUGGGCGGUAAAAUGGCGGGGCUCAACUCCGGCGAGCCGUUGAAACUGGCAGACUUGAGUGCGCGAGAAGUACGCGGAAUUCACGGUGUAGCGGUGAAAUGCAUAGAUAUCACGAAGAACUCCGAUUGCGAAGGCAGCUUACCGGAGCGAAACUGACGCUGAGGCACGAAGGCGUGGGGAUCGAACAGGAUUAGAUACCCCAGUAGUC